GAAUUCUUGUCUUCUGGUGAAGAUGCUGCCAUUCACCUCCAGGGAUAAGGAGAGAAGAGAUCCAUGCAGGGCGGGCAGUAUACCACGUUGGAUUUGGUCGUUCCCCUGCGAUGAAGAGCAUGGCUGUUGCUUCGAACAAAACCAUGGCUGAUUUCAUCAGUCUCUGCUGAUGAAGAUUUUGGCUGGUCCCUUUGUGGAAUGGACGCAUAGGGAUUCAACCAUUCUCUAGCGGGGACGGCCUGGCUGUUGUCUUUCGGAAUGGACGUACGAGGGCUGAUUUAAUCAUUCUCCACGCAUGAAGGUUUUGACGGUUACCUAUUUGGGUAUGGAGUGAGUAGGCUGAGAAUGAGUGUUGCAGUCUGCUUCCAGCGCUGCGC